rnacentral:tRNA from 1 species
GGAGCGAUGGCAGAGCGGUCGAAUGCGGCGGUCUUGAAAACCGUUGCGCCGCAAGGCGCCGUGGGUUCGAAUCCCACUCGCUCCG